GAGGUGAAGUGCAUUUCAUUGAACAGUUUGUCAUCAACAUUUACCUUAUUUUAAAAAACCCACAAAUUCAUGGUAUUUCAUUGUUUGGAUGCACUGGGACUUAUUGAACUAGGCCCCUCUCAAUGCCUAUGGUUUCUUCUUCCUUUUUUGUUAUUAUAGUAAGUAAUGCAACAUCCAUCUGAGAACGAUAUUCUCAUCACAAAUAUAUUUGCACAAAUGCGCCCCCACACCUGUUUGUUGUCAUUCGACUCGGUCAUGCAGUAGGCAAAGAUAAAUUGUUUGAACUUUAUGUGGUCAGGCUAUUUCUUUGAUGGCUUCUGGGCUUUGUUUUAUGAUUUAGAAAGACCUGCAUUCUUUGGAGUGGAGGAAUUAAAUGGAAUUAAAAGUGUCACAUCCAUGUUUCUGCAACGCCUUUUGUGGUCUGUUUUCCAGAUCUACCACCGCUCGGAGCCCUGGAGCUGCUGGCGCAGCCCAAGGAGGUCCUGGAGGGGCACCCCGGCCUCCGCGCCCCUGGGAAAGGUCCCCACCCCUCUGGAGCUUGGGCCCUGCUGGUACAGACCGGGAGUCCCGAGGGGAGUCGGUCCCCUUCCUGGCAGCCGUCCCUGG
rnacentral:lncRNA from 1 species